UGAAAAUAUUGUAGUCGUAUGCUGAAUGGAAGUUUGAAUGAGAAAUCUGAAAAAGCAAACUUUUGCUGGAGUAAUUUAAUGAUGUAGAGUUUCGUGAAAUCUAGUACAGCUGGGUUUCCUGUAUAAGAAAAAGUGAUAUUUAUUUGGUGCUUCUACAUGGUGGUCAAACUAUGGCAGGAAAAGAUGGUGCAGAUGAAGUAGUUAAACAAGGUUUGAUGAUAAAACGGUCUCAAAAUAAAAAGAGAUUCACACCAGUGAAUUACAAGCAGCGAUGGUUCGUCCUCACAAGGCGUUUUUUGAUAUAUUACGACAGUGAUGGCGAGAAGCCGACGCGCAAGGAGCGCGGCCGCGUGGAGGCGUGCACGGUGUCGGU